AAUAGUCCUUUUUUUUUUUUUUUUGAUGUUUAACAUCAUGGGGAAGUAACUGUGUUCAUGUAUUUGUGAUAGACUAACACGGAAUUAUGUGUGUUUGAAUAUAAUUUGGUUUUCUUGAGUUCAAGGGAGGGAAUUAUAAUUGAACUUUCCUUGCUGUCCAAGGGAGAGAAUGCUUUGUGUUAGUACAUACGUAAACAAUUCUGUAUAUUUGCAUGUAUGAAGUAAAAUGUUGACACUUUGUACAGGUUUUAAUAUUGACCAGAGAAAAUAAACAUGAACUAUUGGCUUUAAU